AGCCUGGUAGGCUACAGUCCACGGGGUUGGAAAGAGUCAGACACGACUGAGCGACUUCACUUUCACUCUAGAUACCUAGGUUUAUGUACAUACUCUACAGCUCUCUGAGGUUCCAGAUUAUAGGGGAUAACAAAAAUAUAAUGAAGUGAAACUUCCAGGCAUCACCCUGCACACAGUAACAUGUUCAGGAAUAGAGCUACGGUUGGAUCCUUAAACUAAUUUUCAUGGUGAAGUGCUCCAUUCCCUUGCCCACCUAGGCUGCAACAACUUGCUAUCAAUAAGUGGUUAAACGUUGUAAAUUAGAUCACUUGUCUCGUUUCAACUCAAAUUCCAAGAUAAAAUGAGAGAUCUAUUUUUUCUGUAACUUUCAAAGUCUUUUUCCUAGUGACCUUAAUGCAGUCUACCUUUUUUAAAAAAUGUGUCUGUCCUGCUACACUAAGUUUCUUGAGGUCUUUGGCCAUAUCUGGUUCAUUUCUGUUUCUCCCACAACACUUGGCACAGUAUGUUCCACAGAGUCAGUAAAUAUGCACUAGCUGAACGAGAAUUGCUGAUGCUGGACAGAAUGUUUUCUGCCCUGGACAUCAGGGCAGGGUGUGUUGGAAGGAGUAUCUAAAUAGGCAAACAACCCUCUACCCACAGAUUCGAUAAACUUCACGAAACUAGAGACUCCUACACACUGGGUGACUAAGAAAAUACCCAUUGAAACAGGUGGAAUGGCUGAGCCACCCUUCCCAUGAACUUCAUCAUCAACAGCAUGCCAUACAAUUGGCAUUUGGGAGGAAACUGUCAGCCACCAGCUUCAACUUGAGUGAAGGGUUUGGACCACACAUCUAGCAUCCCAAUUUUUAUGGCUGCCUCCUGAAGGACUGGCUUCUAAUCCUUUGGGAGCUGAUGGGGCCUGGUCUUUGCUUGUUCCCCAAGACCUCAAGGAACUAUAAGGUAGUUUUAAACUUGUGCAACACUUGCCCAGCUCCUUCCCCUUGGCUAGGUGCUGAGUGAGCAGGCAA
ensembl:lncRNA